ACGUCGCAAGACCAAAGAGGGGGACCUUCGGGCCUCUUGGCCAUCAGAUGUGCCCAGAUGGGAUUAGCUAGUAGUGGGGUAACGGCUCACCUAGCGACGAUCCCUAGCUGGUCUGAGAGGAUGACCAGCCACACUGGAACUGAGACACGGUCCAGACUCCUACGGGAGGCAGCAGUGGGGAAUAUUGCACAAUGGGCGCAAGCCUGAUGCAGCCAUGCCGCGUGUAUCGAAGAAGGCCUUCGGGUUGUAAAGUACUUUCAGCGGGGAGGAAGGUGUUGUGGUUAAUAACCACAGCAAUUGACGUUACCCGCAGAAGAAGCACCGGCUAACUCCGUGCCAGCAGCCGCGGUAAUACGGAGGGUGCAAGCGUUAAUCGGAAUUACUGGGCGUAAAGCGCACGCAGGCGGUCUGUCACAAGUCGGAUGUGAAAUCCCCCGGGCUCAACCUGGGAACUGGAUUCGAAACUGGCAGGCUAAAAGUCUUGUCAAGGGGGGGUAGAAUUCCCAGGGUGUUACGGGUGGAAAAUGGCGUAAGAUCUGGAGGGAAUACCGGGUGGGCGAAAGGCGGGCCCCCUUGGAACCAAGAACUGACGCUCCAAAG
rnacentral:rRNA from 1 species